UACGUAGGCAGCAAGCGUUGUUCGGAGUUACUGGGCGUAAAGGGUGUGUAGGCGGUUCUCUAAGUUUGGUGUGAAAUCUCCCGGCUCAACUGGGAGGGUGCGCCGAAAACUGGAGAGCUAGAGUACUGGAUGGGAGAGUGGAAUUCCUGGUGUAGCGGUGAAAUGCGUAGAUAUCAGGAGGAACACCGGUGGCGAAGGCGGCAUCCUGGACCGGUAUUGACGCUGAGGCGCGAAAGCCAGGGGAGCAAACGGG
rnacentral:rRNA from 1 species